CUGGAGUUGUGAAUCUUCUGAACGUCUUCGCCUGCUGUGCCUUGGUCACUUUAUUUGCUCAUAAAACUCUUCUUCAGAGGCACAUUUCUCUAAUUGCAGACAAGUUUUGUGAAUGAGCCAAUCACAUUCAAAGGACAAGGAAGUGAGUGGUGCGGGAGAUAAACGUGAGGACAACGUGAAAUGGAGUUGGGAGAAAGCACGAGAGCGUACGAGUCGAGAAGCAUGUUUGUGGAUAGAGAACUGUUUAUGUAAUGCACCAGUUUAGUAAGUGUUCAACCAGAACUCUUAUACAAAGUGUAAAUGGUGAUAGUUUAUGUCCGGUUGAGUGGACGACUCAGCACACACAGACAGAAAGAAGUUUAAGCUAGCUGCUGACUUAGUGGCUAGUGCUUUGCAUGGACUUUGCUAACAAGCUAGCAACCAGUGACCUUGACUAGUAAAGCCUGUGUGAAACUGCAAGAAAAACGACAACGACCCGACGGAGCCGGAUAGCGUUGCCGAGUGGUGGACUUUGCGAGGUCGUCAGCUGCAUGAAUCUUCUCUUCAACUGUCUCAUCUUCAUUGUGAAUCUUCUCGUCAUAUCUCCUGCUGCUGCUGAUCCUGCGCGCGUGAGGCUACAUUCCUUUGAGUAAAGGUUCCAGACCAGACCAGACCAGUGGUGAUGACCGU